UACGUAGGGUGCAAGCGUUGUCCGGAAUUAUUGGGCGUAAAGAGCUUGUAGGCGGUUUGUCGCGUCUGCUGUGAAAUUUCGGGGCUCAACCCCGAACUUGCAGUGGGUACGGGCAGACUAGAGUGUGGUAGGGGAGACUGGAAUUCCUGGUGUAGCGGUGAAAUGCGCAGAUAUCAUGAGGAACACCGAUGGCGAAGGCAGGUCUCUGGGCCACUACUGACGCUGAGAAGCGAAAGCAUGGGGAGCGAACAGG
rnacentral:rRNA from 1 species